rnacentral:rRNA from 1 species
GGUUCGAUCAUGGCUCAGAUUGAACGCUGGCGGGAUGCUUCACGCCCAGUCGAACGGCGGCACGGACUUCGGUCUGGUGGCGAGUGGCGAACGGGUGAGUAAUGUAUCGGAACAUGCCUAGUAGCGGGGGAUAACUACUGGCCUUAGCUAAUACCAUACGCCCUUCGGGGAAAGCGGAGACCUUCGGGCCUCUUUUCUAUUAGAGCAGCCGAUAUCGGAUUAGCUAGUUGGGUGAUAACGCUCACUAAGGCGACAGUCAGCUGGUUUGAGAGGACGACCAGCCACACUGGGACAGGAACCCUGGCAGACUCCUACGGGAGGCAGCAGUGGGGAAUUUUGGACAAUGAAACCUGAUCCAGCCAUCCCGCGUGUGUGAUGAAGGCCUUCCGGGUUGUAGCACUUUUGGCAGAAAAAGCAACUGGAUGUGCCCAGCCGCUAGGCAGUACCGGAAGAUGACCUGCUUCGCUGAUGCCAGCAGCCAUAGCGCGGUAGUACGUAGGAGUGCAAGCGUUAAUCGGGAUUACUGGGCGUAAGCGUGCGCAGGCGGUUCGGAAAGAAAGAUGCAGAAAUCCCAGAGCUUUGGAACUGCAUUUUAACUUCACCGAGCUAGAGUGUGUCAGAGGAGGUGGAAUUCCUGCUGAUGUGUAGCGAUGCGUAGAUAUGCGGAGGAGGAACACCGAUGGCGAAGGCGGCCUCCUGGGAUAACACUGACGCUCAUGCACGAAAGCGUGGGGAGCAAACAGGUUAGAUACCCUGGCUGCAGUCUGCGCUUCUACACUAACGAUGUCAACUAGCUGUUGGGGCCUUCGGGCCUUGGUGGCCGUAACAUGAGAUUGACCGCCUGGGAAGUACGGUCGCAGAUUAAAACUCAAAGGAAUUGACGGGGACCCACAAGCGGUGGAUGAUGUGGAUUAAUUCGAUGCUUGAAAAACCUACAUGUCUGGAAUCCCGAAGAGAUUUGGGAGUGCUCGCAAGAGAACCGGAACACAGGUGCUGCAUGGCUGUCGUCGAAAGCUCGUGUCGUAUGAUGUUGGGUUAAGUCCCGCAACGAGCGCAACCCUUGUCAUUGGAUUUGCUACGAAGGGCACUCUAUUACAGGACUGCCGGUGACAAACCGGAGGAAGGUGGGGAUGACGUCAAGUCCUCAUGGCCCUUAUGGGUAGGGCUUUACGUCCUUCAAUGGUCGGGACAGAGGGUCGCCAACCCGCAGAGAGAACCAAUCCCAGAGGAAACCCGAUCGUAGUCCGGAUCGCAGUCUGCAACUCGACUGCGUGAAGUCGGAAUCGCUAGUAAUCGCGGAUCAGCAUGUCGCGGUGAAUACGUUCCAGGUCUUGUACACCGCCCGUCACACCAUGGGAGUGGGUUUUACCAGAAGUAGCCUAACCGUAAGGAGGGCGAUUACCACGGUAGGAUUCGCGACUGGGAGGUGGUAACAAAGUGG